UGGGAAUCAAGCCCAGGUGAAGAGCAGAC
rnacentral:piRNA from 1 species